UAGGGAAUUUUGCGCAAUGGACGAAAGUCUGACGCAGCAACGCCGCGUGAAGGAUGAAGGCCCUCGGGUUGUAAACUUCUGUUGGAUGGGAAAAAAAGCCGCAAGGUCUUGAUGGUACCAUUCGAGUAAGCACCGGCUAACUACGUGCCAGCAGCCGCGGUAAUACGUAGGGUGCAAGCGUUGUUCGGAAUCACUGGGCGUAAAGAGAGCGUAGGCGGGAUUGUAAGUUAGGAGUUUAAUGCAUGGGCUUAACCCAUGAUCUGCUUUUAAUACUGCAGUUCUUGAGUAUGGGAGAGGGUGAUGGAAUUCCAGGUGUAGCGGUGGAAUGCGUAGAUAUUAGGAGGAACACCAGUGGCGAAGGCGGCUUUCUGGACGACAACUGACGCUGAGGCGCGAAAGCGUGGGGAGCAAACAGG
rnacentral:rRNA from 2 species